UGGGGAAUAUUGCACAAUGGGCGCAAGCCUGAUGCAGCGACGCCGCGUGAGGGAUGACGGCCUUCGGGUUGUAAACCUCUUUCGCCAGGGACGAAGCCUUUCGGGGUGACGGUACCUGGAUAAGAAGCACCGGCUAACUACGUGCCAGCAGCCGCGGUAAUACGUAGGGUGCGAGCGUUGUCCGGAAUUAUUGGGCGUAAAGAGCUCGUAGGCGGUUUGUCACGUCGGCCGUGAAAACUGGAGGCUUAACCUCCAGCUUGCGGUCGAUACGGGCAGACUUGAGUUCGGUAGGGGAGACUGGAAUUCCUGGUGUAGCGGUGGAAUGCGCAGAUAUCAGGAGGAACACCGGUGGCGAAGGCGGGUCUCUGGGCCGAUACUGACGCUGAGGAGCGAAAGCGUGGGGAGCGAACAGGAUUAGAUACCCUGGUAGUCCACGCUGUAAACGUUGGGCGCUAGGUGUGGGCGACUUCCACGUUGUCCGUGCCGUAGCUAACGCAUUAAGCGCCCCGCCUGGGGAGUACGGCCGCAAGGCUAAAACUCGAAGGAAUUGACGGGGGCCCGCACAAGCGGCGGAGCAUGUGGUUUAAUUCGAUGC
rnacentral:rRNA from 1 species